rnacentral:rRNA from 1 species
AUUGAACGCUGGCGGCAGGCCUAACACAUGCAAGUCGAGCGGCAGCGGGACCUUCGGGUUGCCGGCGAGCGGCGGACGGGUGAGUAAUGCCUAGGAAUCUGCCUGUUAGUGGGGGAUAACGCGGGGAAACUCGCGCUAAUACCGCAUACGUCCUACGGGAGAAAGCGGGGGACCCUCGGGCCUCACGCUAACAGAUGAGCCUAGGUCGGAUUAGCUAGUUGGUGGGGUAAAGGCCCACCAAGGCGACGAUCCGUAACUGGUCUGAGAGGAUGAUCAGUCACACUAGAACUGAGACACGGUCCAGACUCCUACGGGAGGCAGCAGUGGGGAAUAUUGGACAAUGGGCGAAAGCCUGAUCCAGCCAUGCCGCGUGUGUGAAGAAGGUCUUCGGAUUGUAAAGCACUUUAAGUUGGGAGGAAAGGCGCUCGGUGAAUACCCAGGCGCCUUGACGUUACCGACAGAAUAAGCACCGGCUAACUUCGUGCCAGCCGCCGCCGUAACAC